rnacentral:rRNA from 1 species
AACGAACGCUGGCGGCAUGCCUAACACAUGCAAGUCGAACGGCAGCACAGCAGUAGCAAUACUGUGGGUGGCGAGUGGCGGACGGGUGAGGAAUACGUCGGAAUCUGCCCAGUCGUGGGGGAUAACUAGCCGAAAGGUUAGCUAAUACCGCAUACGACCGAGAGGUGAAAGCGGGGGACCGCAAGGCCUCGCGCGAUUGGAUGAGCCGACGUCGGAUUAGCUAGUUGGUGGGGUAAAGGCCCACCAAGGCGACGAUCCGUAGCUGGUCUGAGAGGAUGAUCAGCCACACUGGAACUGAGACACGGUCCAGACUCCUACGGGAGGCAGCAGUGGGGAAUAUUGGACAAUGGGCGCAAGCCUGAUCCAGCAAUGCCGCGUGUGUGAAGAAGGCCUUCGGGUUGUAAAGCACUUUUAUCAGGAACGAAAAGCGUUGGAUUAAUACUCUGACGUGCUGACGGUACCUGAGGAAUAAGCACCGGCUAACUUCGUGCCAGCACGCCGCUGUAA